rnacentral:rRNA from 1 species
AACGAACGCUGGCGGCAGGCCUAACACAUGCAAGUCGAACGCCCCGCAAGGGGAGUGGCAGACGGGUGAGUAACACGUGGGAACGUACCCCAAGGUUCGGAACAACAGCGGGAAACUGCUGCUAAUACCGGAUGUGACCGAGAGGUGAAAGAUUUAUCGCCUUGGGAUCGGCCCGCGUUAGAUUAGCUAGUUGGUGGGGUAAUGGCCUACCAAGGCUACGAUCUAUAGCUGGUCUGAGAGGAUGAUCAGCCACACUGGGACUGAGACACGGCCCAGACUCCUACGGGAGGCAGCAGUGGGGAAUCUUGGACAAUGGGCGCAAGCCUGAUCCAGCCAUGCCGCGUGAAUGAUGAAGGCCUUAGGGUUGUAAAAUUCUUUCGUCGGGGACGAUAAUGACGGUACCCGAAGAAGAAGCCCCGGCUAACUUCGUGCCAGCCGCCGCAGUAA